rnacentral:misc_RNA from 1 species
GAUGAAGAACGUAGCGAAAUGCGAUAAGUAAUGUGAAUUGCAGAAUUCAGUGAAUCAUCGAAUCUUUGAACGCACAUUGCGCCCGUCAGUAUUCUGGCGGGCAUGCCUGUUCGAGCGUCAUUACGCCCCUCAAGUCCCCUGUGGACUUGGUGUUGGGGAUCGGCGAGGCUGGUUUUCCAGCACAGCCGUCCCUUAAAUUAAUUGGCGGUCUCGCCGUGGCCCUCCUCUGCGCAGUAGUAAAACACUCGCAACAGGAGCCCGGCGCGGUCCACUGCCGUAAAACCCCCCAACUUUUUAUAGUUGACCUCGAAUCUGGUAGGACUACCCGCUGAACUUAAGCAUAUCAAUAAGCGGAGGA